UGGAAAGAUCUUGAGCUG
rnacentral:miRNA from 1 species